AUGUACAAAUAUACGAUCAAUGGAUCAACAAAUCAUUGUCCGGCCAGGCAAUCGCGUUCACGUGCCCUUGCUCGGCCCGACGACGCCGUCGUUGCCGGCGAGCGCGAGGUACUUGUCCUUCCUGGUGAAGCCGGUGCACUCGAAGGAGAGCGCCGAGGCGAUGAGCCUCUGCACGUGGUUCGCCACCUCGUGGCUCGACCUCCCGCCGCCGCCGCAGGUGUGCUCCGCCGGCAGCCUGUCGAGGAACGUCACCGUGUACUGCGGCCGCGGAUUCAUGAACAGGUAGAAGGGGUCCAUCCCCUUCCAGCCCCUGGCCGUGGUGCCGUGGAACAUGCUCAUCCGGCACUCCGUCGCCACGGGCACGAUGUCGUCGCUGAGCUCCGCGAAGAGCGACGAGAAGCGCAGCAGGAAGGGCUCCCGGCACGUCGUCCCCUCGGGGCAGACGACGAGGUCGCCCCCGGCGAGCAGGCGCCUGAUGGCGGCGGCGUCGGUGGCGCGGUCGCGGGUGAGGCGGACGGUGCGGAUCGGCGAGAGGAACUCGGAGAGGCGGGAGAGCGAGUAGGUGACGACGGACACGGGGCGGCCGAGCGCCACGGAGAUGAACACCGGGUCCAGGAGCGUGCGGUGGGAGCAGGCGAAGAGCGCGCCCGUGCGGCCCUCGGCAUGCUUCGGGCGCGGCGGGGGCGCGCCCCGCACCACGACACGCACGCCCAGCGCACGGUAGACGUGGUACUGCCACGGCAUCGGGACGAGCGACCCCGCGGCGACCCGGACGCACGCGAGAAGGAAGCCGAUGGGGUACCACACCACGGCGAGCAACGCGGCCAGCGGGGUCGGCCGCUGGACGAGGCGGCCGUCGUGGAAGACCACCGGCUUCCGCAGCUUGUCCGCGCCCACGGCGUCCACCGGCUCCCGCGGCACGAGGUACGCCUCCUGCAGUCCAAAACCAAAGUUACAAAAGUAUUCUGCGCACGAACUUUGUAUACAAGUAGUGACCAUGGUCGGCCACACUUUUCGCUACCGGUAGCAUUUUAA
rnacentral:rRNA from 1 species